GGCCUCCAUCUUGAAAACGGAAAAUAAAAACAGCAGACCUAUGAAGGUCGAAGGGGAAGAAAAGCUGUAUCGAUUGUUGAGAUCUGGCGACUUGUUUAAAUUUCAUCAGCCUCACUUCUAUGAACUCUCAGAGCUGAUUACCAACUCCUACCACUGUUAACCCUCAUCCAGGAAAAAGCUUAUGUCUUUAACAUUCUGAGUGGGCUUCAGCAUCCUUGCAUAUGUUCAAUUCUUAAAAACCUGUUGAAAUAAAAGAUCAGGAGACAUAGGAAGGAUGCCAGAAGAGAGCGUGGCCUCAUGUGUACCAGCUCUCUGCUCUCCUUUGCCUUGGGACGUUCCAUCCCUGGAAGUUUCCCUGCCCACAUCUUUGUAGAGAGUCCAUUCUCCAAGCUUCAGUGUGUCAUCUGUGAGGACUGUGACCAACCUGGUACAUCGCCUCAGGGCAUUCAUUUCAGGCUCCUUCUAAAUGGUCAAGGAUCUUGGAAGCAGAGGGAUCUGCAGAAGUGCUUGCAACACUUUCAGCCUCAACCAGCAUCAGAGACAAAAAUCCUUUCUGGAAUGAGUCUUCUGUCAGCCUAACAAGCAUAGCAAGAAGAUAUAGCCCCACAACCACUUUAUGCACAAAGUUAGAAGCAUAAAAUCUCAUGGAAAGAGACCGAUUAUCCACAGAAGAGGUUGUCUUGCCAUUUCUCUCAUGUUAGAGGUAAACCUCAGGUUCUCCUCCUGCCUUUUGCUAAGUAUAUGUCUUGAUGACAAGCCUUCUGCUGAUGAGCUGUGUUUCUGGACCGAUCAUGGUAGAAGUCAAUUAACGUGUCCCUCACUUGGGGUUUCUCAAGGCUGCACUGAUGAGGAAACUGAAACAGAAAAUCCAGAGUAAAUUCCACCAGGCCACACAGCAAGGUCUGAUAGAGCCAGGAGAGACUUUAUGAAAUCCAGACUCUCACACUAAUGCUCUAUCAGCUAGACCUCCAUGUGAGUCUCCCCAAUGUAGGUAGGAAGUGCUUUCCC
rnacentral:lncRNA from 1 species